GGGGGAGUAUGCUCUCUGCUUUGGUGAGGUUCAGUCGCAAGGUUUACCCCUGGUGCUGUGAGAAGGGCAAUUUCCUGCUGUGGGCUGGAGGAGCAGUGGCUGCUUGUUAAUGACAUGGUGGAAAUGGGGGGAGGUGGUGGCCAGGGCAGUGAGCAGCACCUGCUGUGGAGCCAUGCAUCUCUUCCCCCGGGCUGUGGGGCUCAGCUGCUUUUCAGAGGUAAGAGAGGAGAAUAAUUGA
rnacentral:lncRNA from 1 species